CCUACGGGUGGCAGCAGUGAGGAAUAUUGGUCAAUGGGCGCAAGCCUGAACCAGCCAAGUCGCGUGAAGGAAGACGGUCCUAUGGAUUGUAAACCUCUUUUGUAGGGGAGCAAAAGGCGCCACGCGUGGCGUUCCGAGAGUACCCGAAGAAAAAGCAUCGGCUAACUCCGUGCCAGCAGCCGCGGUAAUACGGAGGAUGCGAGCGUUAUCCGGAUUUAUUGGGUUAAAAGGGAGCGCAGGCGGACGAUCAAGGGAGCGGUAAAAUUGAGUGGCUCAACCGCUUCGUGCCGUUGAAACUGGUGUGCUUGAGUGCGCGAGAAGUAGGCGGAAUGCGUGGUGUAGCGGUGAAAUGCAUAGAUAUCACGCAGAACUCCGAUGGCGAAGGCAGCAUACCGGAGCUCAACUGACGCUGAUGCACGAAAGUGUGGGUAUCGAACAGGAUUAGAUACCCUUGUAGUC
rnacentral:rRNA from 1 species